UCGAGAAUCUUCCGCAAUGGGCGAAAGCCUGACGGAGCGACGCCGCGUGUAGGAUGAAGGCCCUCGGGUUGUAAACUACUGUCACGGGUUAUGAAUGUGCAUAUGUUAACAGCGUGUGUAUUGACGUAAGCCCGAAAGGAAGCACCGGCUAACUCUGUGCCAGCAGCCGCGGUAAUACAGAGGGUGCAAACGUUGUUCGGAAUUACUGGGCAUAAAGCGCGCGUAGGCGGCGACGUAAGUGUAGGGUGAAAUCCCACGGCUCACCCGUGUGAAUUGCCCCGCAUACUGCGUUGCUUGAGUGUGGUAGGGGAGAGCGGAACUCCUGGUGGAGCGGUGAAAUGCGUAGAUAUCAGGAGGAACACCGGUGGCGUAGGCGGCUCUCUGGUCCAUAACUGACGCUGAAGUGCGAAAGCUAGGGGAGCAAACAGGAUUAGAUACCCACGUAGUCCCUGAGCGGGCUGGCAAGGCGCAU
rnacentral:rRNA from 1 species